GGGUCUUUGGGGUUCGAGUCCCUGGAGAGGGUCUUCGAGUCCCUGGAGAGGUGAAAGAAGUCCUGCUCCAAGGAUCCUGAGCAAACCUGCCAUUUGUUAAAACCAGGUGACUGGGUCUACAUAAAGGUCCAUCAACGAAAGACGACUCUAGCCCCAUGCUGGAAAGGCCCUUAUUAAGUCCUGCUAAUUACCAACACCGCUGUGAAGUGCCAAGGACUGACUGCCUGGAUCCAUGCUUCUUACUGCAAAAAGACCCCUCCACCUCUAGAUGACUUCAUUCGAUACUGCUCAGCCUGUCCCUCCUUCUGGGUUUUUUUUUUUUUUUUCUUUCCUUCUUUU